AGUGAACGCUGGCGGCGUGCUUAACACAUGCAAGUCGAACGGAUAACAACUGUAGCAAUACGGUUGUUGUUAGUGGCAAACGGGUGAGUAACACAUGGGAAUCUGCCUUGUAGUAAGGAAUAACUGUUAGAAAUGACAGCUAAUACCUUAUAUUGCGGAGACGUGAAAGAUUUAUCGCUACAAGAUGAGCCCAUGGAAGAUUAGUUUGUUGGUGGGGUAAUGGCCUACCAAGACUAUGAUCUUUAGCUGGUCUGAGAGGACGAUCAGCCACACUGGAACUGAGAUACGGUCCAGACUCCUACGGGAGGCAGCAGUGGGGAAUAUUGGACAAUGGGCGAAAGCCUGAUCCAGCAACGCCGCGUGAAUGAUGAAGGCCUUAGGGUUGUAAAGUUCUUUUAGUAGGGAAGAUAAUGACGGUACCUACAGAAAAGACCCCGGCUAACUUCGUGCCAGCAGCCGCGGUAAGGUCGUCAUGU
rnacentral:rRNA from 1 species